UACGUAGGGUGCGAGCGUUAAUCGGAAUUACUGGGCGUAAAGCGUGCGCAGGCGGCUUUGCAAGACAGAUGUGAAAUCCCCGGGCUCAACCUGGGAACUGCAUUUGUGACUGCAUGGCUAGAGUGCGGCAGAGGGGGAUGGAAUUCCGCGUGUAGCAGUGAAAUGCGUAGAUAUGCGGAGGAACACCGAUGGCGAAGGCGGCUCUCUGGUCUGUAACUGACGCUGAGGCGCGAAAGCGUGGGGAGCAAACAGG
rnacentral:rRNA from 1 species